rnacentral:rRNA from 1 species
AGAGUGCGUAAUAGCUCACUAGUCGAGAGGUCCUGCGCCGAAAAUGUCCGGGGCUAAAACACGACACCGAAGCUUAGGAAUCAGAAAUGAUUGGUAGAGGAGCAUUCUUAAAUCAUCGAAGCUGUACCGAUAAGGAGCAGUGGAGGUUUAAGAAGAGAGAAUGCCGGAAUGAGUAGCGAGAAUGAAGUGAGAAUCUUCAUGGCCGAAUAUCCAAGGUUUCCAGGGUAAAGCUGAUCUGCCCUGGGUUAGUCGGGGCCUAAGGCGAGGCUGAGAAGCGUAGCUGAUGGACAACAGGUUGAAAUUCCUGUACUGCCUUAUAACAGAACUGUGGGGACACAUGUUCAGGUCGCGAGCCGGGAAAGGAAAGCCCGGUGCAAGCAGAGGUUAUCGGUGGGAGGCAAACCCCCCACAAAAGAGAAGACUGCGAUGCGGAGCGAAGAAAAGUAGCGAAGAGCGAUGAGAAUGUGUCGAGAAAAGCCGCUAUUGUUUAUAAGGUACCCGUACCGUAAACCGACACAGGUGGAUGAGGAGAGAAUCCUAAGGCCGGCGGGAGAAGCAUUGUUAAGGAACUCGGCAAAAUGACCCCGUAACUUCGGGAGAAGGGGUGCCCACGAAAGUGGGCCGCAGAGAAUAGGCUCAAGCAACUGUUUAGCAAAAACACAGGUCUAUGCAAAACCGUAAGGUGAGGUAUAUGGGCUGACGCCUGCCCGGUGCUGGAAGGUUAAGAGGAGAGGUUAACGAAAGUGAAGCUUUGAAUUUAAGCCCCAGUAAACGGCGGCCGUAACUAUAACGGUCCUAAGGUAGCGAAAUUCCUUGUCGGGUAAGUUCCGACCCGCACGAAAGGCGUAAUGAUUUGAGCACUGUCUCGACAAUGCAUCCGGUGAAAUUGAAGUACCAGUGAAGAUGCUGGUUACCUGCGCCAGGACGGAAAGACCCCAUGGAGCUUUACUCUAGUUUGGUACUGGGGUCCGGUAUUGCAUGUACAGGAUAGGUGGGAGACUGAGAAGUGUGAACGCCAGUUUGCACGGAGUCAUUGUUGGGAUACCACCCCUGCAGUAUUGGGCUUCUAACAGGUAGCCGUAAACCGGCUAAUGGACAAUGCCAGGCGGGGAGUUUGACUGGGGCGGUCGCCUCCGAAAGGGUAUCGGAGGCGCUCAAAGGUUCCCUCAGAAUGGUUGGAAACCAUUCGAAGAGUGCAAAGGCAGAAGGGAGCUUGACUGCGACACCGACGGGUGGAGCAGGUACGAAAGUAGGACUUAGUGAUCCGGUGGCAUAAAGUGGGAUUGCCAUCGCUCAACGGAUAAAAGCUACCCUGGGGAUAACAGGCUUAUCACUCCCAAGAGUUCACAUCGACGGAGUGGUUUGGCACCUCGAUGUCGGCUCAUCGCAUCCUGGGGCUGUAGCAGGUCCCAAGGGUUGGGCUGUUCGCCCAUUAAAGCGGUACGCGAGCUGGGUUCAGAACGUCGUGAGACAGUUCGGUCCCUAUCCGGCGUGGGCGGAGGAUAUUUGAGAGGAGCUGUCCUUAGUACGAGAGGACCGGGAUGGACGGACCGCUGGUGUAUCUGUUGUACUGCCAAGUGCAUGGCAGAGUAGCCAAGUCUGGAAGGGAUAAACGCUGAAGGCAUCUAAGCGUGAAGCCCCCCUCAAGAUGAGAUAUCCCUGCAUAUGCAGUAAGACCCCUUGAAGACUACGAGGUAGAUAGGUCAGAGGUGGAAGUGCAGUAAUGCAUGUAGCUGACUGAUACUAAUAGGUCGAGGGCUUGACCAA